GAUUUAUCAUCUCAAGAGACAAUGUCAAGAAGAUGCUGUUUCUGCAAAUGGGCAAUCUGCAAACCAAGGACACGUCACUACAUUACUGUGCAAGAGAAG